CAAAAUGGUCGGACGAUCGCGUAUUAGUGCUUUCGGGCUACUAAUCCGAGGAAAGUCCGGGCUCCAGUGGACUGGCUGCCAGGUAACACCUGGGCACAGGCAGCGUGAGUUGCUCGUGACGGAAAGUGCCACAGAGAACAGACCGCCACUCGCAAGAGCGGCAAGGGUGAAACGGUGAGGUAAGAGCUCACCGCGUCGAUGGUAACAUCGGCGGCACGGUAAACCCCAGUCGGAGCAAGGCCAAAUAUGCGGCGAGAGUUGUUCACCUCGAUCAAGACGCCGCGGGUAGGCCGCUAAAGAGCAUGGGCGACUAUGCUCGUAGAGAAAUGAUCGUCCGGCUUACGCGAGUAAGCCGACAGAACCCGGCUUACAGACCAUCCGCCUU
rnacentral:RNase_P_RNA from 1 species